CAUUUGGGAGAAACAAGGUGUUUAACAAGGAAAUAUGCGGGUUCCUUUUAAGACUUCCUGGCUAAUUGCGGUUAUUUCUUACUCCCCUGCAGGAAGAGUAGAAUUGUUGAUUUCACCUUCACUUUUCUUAUGUGGAACUAAAAGGUCAACAUCCAUAAAAGUAAGGAGAAUAUAUCAGAACCAAACUAUUUCUGCCUGUAAUCGUUUAUUAAGGAAAAGAUUCAUCACAUACCUUCCCCAGAUGCAUAGUAGUAGAGACUAAUUUUUGAACUAAUCUAAUUAAAGUUAAUUUUGGGGUAGUGGUACUUCUCUAAUUUUUUCUGAGACAUACCCAUUAGCAGCAGAGUGUUAUGUUGUCAUAGCAACGGGUAAUGACUUCAGAAAUAGAAUUGAAUUAUGUCACAAUGGCAAUUUGAGGACAGCUGUCACUGUGCGAGUUUAGUUAGAAGGGACAGAAAAGCGUGUUGGCUGGGAGGAAACCAUGUGAGGAUUUCUGCAUCACACCUUUAAGCACUUAGAGAGAGUCCAUGCCCCUCUAAGUUUCACAGAUCGAACCUGGACUGAAUUGAGUAUGGAUACGCGGAAUGGCUACGAAUACCUCCAAUUACACCGACAUUUUAUGCUCAUUCCAUGUGGUUUUAAGUGAAGAAUGUACUGCACUCCUAUGUCUUGGCUAACUCCUCAGCUGAAGAGUAGUAUGAAUUGCUUCUUAUUUUGUUUGUUUUUCUGUUUUGUUUCAUUUUCCACUCUAUUUAGUUUUCUCUUAUUAGAGGGAAAAAUUGUUUCUCCAAACAGCUGGUUUUUUUCAGCAACAUGCAUCAGAUGAAUACCACAACAGUAUUUAUUAACAUGUAUAUACACAGUGAUAUAGGUACAUAAUUUUCCAUACAGUAUCUCCUCCUCCUAAGUGUGCUGCACACAAUGAAGUGUGACUGGACAUCAUAAACAAUACCAUAUAAUCUUGCAUGAUGUGCUACCCUAGCUCUGCUGCCUGCAGUAGAAACGAUACAAAUUUAGGUGGCACAAAACAAACCAUGAAGACAGAACUUGACAGAAGCAAAACAAAAUGCUCUUAUUUGCCACUACCUGCACUUAAGGGGAUGAUUUUCUGAGAAAGUCUUUCUUCCAUUUGAAAUGAAAACAUGCACUGAAUCGUGCAGUGUUUUAUAUUGCAUGAAAUAGCCUCCCAUGAUCCCCUGGGAGACUAUUUGAGUUGAGUUAGGCACUAGGAAUGUUCAUUGCAUACUUGCACUUCUGAGGAAACAGAGCCUUACAUCUGCUAUGCCCAUAUCCCUCAACAGAAUUACUUGAUACUUGAUGCGGUGGUUGCAUGGUGUACCUAGUGGUGUUCCUCUAACUCACAAUUCAGAAAAAGAAACAAAAAUAGAAAAAAGGUUUAUCUCUUGUCUUCCCUUUCUUUUCUCACAUACAGAAGAUAACAACUUUCCAGACCCAUAUCUUGCAAUAAGGGAAGAUAACAAUUUAAUGCUUUUGAAAUAAAAGCUGUUGUAUCUUGUAAGAGUUUGAGGAAUUUGCAAAUUUAUAACUUUAUACAGAAAUCACUGCAGAGAUGUUUUCAAGCUUUCCCCUGUGCAAACAAGGAAAUAAUAAAAGAUCAAGCUUUCAGAGGUGUUUAACCACCUCGCCAUGAUAGUACUGGCAUGUGUGAUCUUAGUAUUAUGUAUUUUGAAGAGUUUUUUGGUCUCAUAGUCUUAGGACUCAUUUUUGAUAUUUUUAUUUUAAUUCAACAUGUUUGGGCAAAACUCAGUCUGGGACAACUUAUACAUCUAAGGAUCUUAAUCAAAAACCCAAUUCCACCCUUUAGGUCUGAUAUAACCUCAUCGUAUACUCUAAAGAACUGUUCAACAGUUCAUAGUAUUCAGAAAUAAAACAUUACUAGAUCAAAAGGUGAACAUUAUGUUAGAACUGUCUUCCAAACUGAACUUCUUUGACUACAAAAUUCAGACAGUAAAUGUGUCUACAUUUCUAAGGGGGAACAAUAGUCAAAAUCUAAGGUUUUCCUGUAAGGCACAAUGUUCCAAAAAACUUUGUUUCAACUCCUCUGUAGCAUUACAUUUUUAUAAGGUAGAAAUCUGCUAUUCUGGAAAAGUCUGAAAAAUUGUCUCAUUUUUUUUUACUCUUGC